AGAUGCCAUGAGUCCAAAGGAAUCAUCCCGCCCCCAGCAGACAAGCGUGGAGCCAGCCUGCUCCUCUGGCCAAAGCAUUCCACCCCCGGACCUCUCCUCCAGGAAGAAGAGAUGUGGAAGAAGAGAUGUGGGUAUGGUGGAUUCUGACCCUUGGCUCCCCAAAGUUCCACAGAGCCCAGCUCCCACUGAAGGCAUAUGACCCAGAUCCUGAGAACCAGAUGCACCGGCCUGAGCUUUCGUCAGAAGCAAGGACACACAGAACCUUUCUUAGAGGCAUCAUUAGAGGACCGGACAUGGUGGCCAGAGGCUGCAGGGACAGAAGUCCCAGGGCCAUGUCCAGGAACUGGGCUCAGGGGACCUCCUGGUGCCACCUGCAUAUCUGAGCCCAUGGAGUUCCUCUGGUCUAUUCAGUUCUCUCAUUUUAACUUAAUUUUGUUUUUGUAGGCUUUCUUAAAAAAUUGCCCAGUUCAUUUACCUGAUCACGUUUAUUGUUCAGAGUUGAGUGUGGUUCUCUCGUAAUUAUUUAGUCUCCACUGGGUCUGUGAUUAUAUUUCCUUUCUUAUUGCUAAUGCUGUUUGUGUUUGAUUUUCUUCUUUUUUUUCUUGGCCUGACUUAAAGAGGUUUGUCUGUUUUAUCUUUAUUUUAAAAAUAACCAACUGUUUAUUUUUACUUCUCCACUGUGAUUUCCCCCUUUAUUUCUUUAAUGUUUGAGUUUAUAUUUUUUCCUAUUUAUUUUGGCUUAAAUUUUAUUAUCAUUUUGCUAUAUCCUUGUGUCAAGCGCUUAAUUCAAUUAUUUUGUUAUUUUGACUUCUAAAAAAUCAGUUAAUUCUAUAAGUUUUCCUCUAUGUACUACAUUGAGCAAACUCCACAGAUUUCUGUAGGGGGCAUACUAAUUGUAAUUCAAUUUCGUUUUCCAUGUGUAGGUCCAGAUUUAUUUGAAUGUCCAAAUACUUAGAAUUGUAGGCUCUUGUUUUGUUAUUAAAGUCUGGUUUUAUUACAUUGUGUUUAGAGAAAAUAAUAUGGAGGAUUUUAAUUUUAGAUAAAGCAUUAAUAUCUUUUUUAUCCUCAAACAUGAUCAAUUUUUGACAGUGUUCCAAAAAUAUACUAUGAAAUAUAUAUUA